rnacentral:lncRNA from 1 species
GGAGAGCAGAAUAGGCAGAAAUCUAGAUGGUAUAGUUUGAGGGGUGCCGAGAAGGUCCUGCGGCCCCAAGUUUGUCAUGGAGUCCUUCCUUUGAAUCUCAUGCCUCCUCCUUUUUAGGUAUAAUCACUUACAACACAUUUUACUCUGAAUUAGUAUAUCCAUUUAUUCAACCAAGCAUUUAAAAAAAAGUUUCUUCUAAGCAAAAGGCAUCGUGUCUACAAGUUAGCUUUCCUCCAUGCUGAGAGCGAGAUACUGAAGGACUAGGAGACUUGAUUGGGGCUUGUGAUGAGUGAAAAGCAUAAUUCUGAACACGGGGCACUGACCAAGGAAGGGAGCCUUUAAUACAGCGUCACAGUAAGGAGAUUCUCAGGAGCCCGUGUCUGAAGAAGGAGAAAAGAACCCAAGGAAAUGGGAGGUAGGGAGAUACCAAAGUUCCUGCUGCCCUUCAGUUACAUUUUCCCCACCUAACUGUUUUCACCAGGUCAGCUUUGAUCCCAGGAUCUCGCUUCCUUCACGGUCUCUGGGAGAGAAAGCCAAGGGUAAACCUGAAGCUGCUGAGAUCAGAAAUUCAAGAAUAGGGGAGGCAGGUGGGAUUAGAAUGCAGAGAAAGCCGAGGUUUCCAUCUUUUGGCCACAAGCCAUGCCAUUAGGCCUUUUUGAAAAGGAUGAACAAAAAUGAACAACUACUACAAAAAGUACUACUAUAAAUAUUUUGGUGUAUAUGGGAUCUUUCUUCCUAUUUUUGAUGUCCAUGUGAUGUAUGCCUAACAGAGGGAUCUCUGAGUCAAGAGGUUGUGAGCAUUCAUUUCCGGAUCUCAAAGAACCAGCCAUGGAUAGCUCCAGGAUGAGGCCAGAAGCUCUCCCAAGCACAGAGGCUCCUGGAGCAAAGGCCUGUAUGCAUGCCCAAGGAAGGCCUUCUCAAAACUCAGGACCAGAGAAGGGUUCUGAUUCUGUUUUCAAUAGUCUACAUGCAGCAAUCAGGAAAAGAAAAAGAACGCUCCCAACAGAUCAAAGUCAGAACAUCUUAAAAUGGAAAUGAACAUUUAAAAGAGGCCUUUCUCAAGGGAAGCCUUGGCAGUAAAUCAGAGCUUUUGAGAGGCAACUGGGGCCUGUGCUGAUUUUUGAAUAACUCAUCGUUUAAUAAAUGUUCUUUUUUUGUGGCCCUUUGGGGAAAA